AAGGGAAUACGCGAACGGUAGAGCGGCAAUCAAAAUGAUUGUGAUACACAUUCUAGGUUAGUAUUAUUGUGGGUUCGAAUCCCACUUCCCUUA
rnacentral:tRNA from 1 species